AGGACGAACGCUGGCGGCGUGCUUAACACAUGCAAGUCGAGCGGAAAGGCCCUUCGGGGUACUCGAGCGGCGAACGGGUGAGUAACACGUGAGUAACCUGCCCCUAGCUCUGGGAUAGCUCCGGGAAACCGGGAUUAAUACCAGAUACGACCACUUUAGACAUCUUUUGUGGUGGAAAGGAUUCCGGCUAGGGAUGGGCUCGCGGCCUAUCAGCUUGUUGGUGGGGUAACGGCCUACCAAGGCGACGACGGGUAG
rnacentral:rRNA from 1 species